UCAAGGGAAAGAUUUACAGUUAAUCCUCAAAAUGGACAGAGGCAAGACUUCAUCAGCAAAAAUUAUUUUGAUUUCAACUUAAUACGUUGAUAUUAAAUCUUUAAUACAAAUCCAUUAAGAUGAUUGUUUGAUUAAGUCAUUUUUGAUGCAAUCAAAAUCUCGAUGAAAUGCUUAAAUCUGCAUAGUCUUUCCCUACCACAGAUCUAACCACUGCAUCAAGCAUCUCCCAGAUAAAUGACAUUAAUUAAAUAACACAAGCUUAAGGAACAGAAUUCAAAUGAAUGAAAAACUAUUGAAAUGAGUGAGUUACAUAUUAUAGUUUGUUUGAGGCCUCACAUAACAGUUUACCUCACCUUUCCUCCUUGUACUCUACAAUGAUCCUCAAUUUUAAUUCCCUCACUAACGAAACUGAGAUUUUCUCCUCUGGCUUCAAGAGGAGGUGACAGAAAGCAAUUUUAAAGUGUAUAUUAAAAAUGUAUUGUUUCUUUUGUGGUAUCACUCAAGGUAGAAGAGUUUUAUGACAUCAAAAUGUACACUGUCUCUUGGCCAUGAGCUGGAGAGGAGAAGGAUGAGUGGUAAGACUUCACUGGAGAGGAGAAGGAUGAGUGGUAAGACUUCACUGGAGAGGAGAAGGAUGAGUGGUAAGACUUCACUGGAGAGGAGAAGGAUGAGUGGUAAAACUUCACUGGAGAGGAGAAGGAUGAGUGGUAAGACUUCACUGGAGAGGAGAAGGAUGAGUGGUAAGACUUCACUGGAGAGGAGAAGGAUGAGUUGUAAGACUUCACUGGAGAGGAGAAGGAUGAGUGGUAAGACUUCACUGGAGAGGAGAAGGAUGAGUGGUAAGACUUCACUGGAGAGGAGAAGGAUGAGUGGUAAGACUUCACUGGAGAGGAGAAGGAUGAGUGGUAAGACUUCACUGGAGAGGAGAAGGAUGAGUGGUAAGACUUCACUGGAGAGGAGAAGGAUGAGUACACAUUGCUUGUCUUUUCUCCUUUAUCUUUAUAGAACCUCUUCCUAGGUGCUAACUAGCCCGGAUGCCUGUCAGUUUGCCAGGCAUUGGCUGGUCCUUUGUCACUGUCCUGCCAAACCGGAGUAAGCUGGUUGUGUAUGUAUGAGAGGAUAAACACAGCACUUCUCUCUGGUCAGGGUGCCAGUCUUCCAGUCUGUCUCAGUCUGUUCUAGCUAGCUGUUUGGCAUGCAGGGCUGGCUGACUGUUCAAAUAGACUGAAGGCUAGAAAAUGUUUAUUAGUCACAAUUUGAGGGGGUUUAGAAAUGUUAACAUGCAGAGCGCUGCUGGGACAUAGGCCAAUCGAGGGAGACAGGGUAUUUACAUAAGAGGCAGGCUAAGGUGUGUGGGGGUAAGGAGGGGGUGGGUGGGGUGAGGAGUGUAGGGAGUGAUUAGUGACAGACAGGUGCAGGAUGGGUAUGUUCCAAAGUGGUUGGGAUGAGGUACAUGGGGAAAGUGUAAGGGGGUUUGAGUGAGGUGUGUUGAGGUGUUCGUACAUAGGGGGAGUCAGUGCAGUGUGUGUUGCAGCUAACUGCAGUCUUGAUGAUUUGAAUGAUAAAUAUGGGCAUUAGAUAACAUUAGGUAACAUUAGGUAACAUUAGGUAACAUUAAGUAACAUUAGAUAACAUUAGAUAACAUUAGGUAACAUUAGAUAACAUUAGGUAACAUGAGGUAACAUUAGGUAACAUUAGAUAACAUUAGGUAACAUUAGAUAACAUUAGAUAACAUUAGGUAACAUUAGGUAACAUUAGAUAACAUUAGGUAACAUUAGAUAACAUUAGGUAACAUUAGGUAACAUUAGAUAACAUUAGGUAACAUUAGGUAACAUUAGGUAACAUUAGGUAACAUUAGAUAACAUUAGGUAACAUUAGAUAACAUUAGGUAACAUUAGGUAACAUUAGAUAACAUUAGAUAACAUUAGAUAACAUUAGAUAACAUUAGGUAACAUUAGGUAACAUUAGGUAACAUUAGGUAACAUUAGAUAACAUUAGGUAACAUUAGGUAACAUUAGAUAACAUUAGGUAACAUUAGAUAACAUUAGGUAACAUUAGAUAACAUUAGGUAACAUUAGGUAACAUUAGAUAACAUUAGGUAACAUUAGAUAACAUUAGAUAACAUUAGAUAACAUUAGGUAACAUUAGCUGAGGUACUUGGGGGGUGGGAGGAAGUCUGGGGCUCUUGCGAUCGUUGACAUUUUUCGUACGGUCCUGUCGCCGUAUAGCAAAUCUCCUCCUGCUCAUCGUAAUGACGGCCUGCCAGCCAGCCAGACGGGGCUAGUGCCUCUCUGUCAAUCACAGGUUUCCAUGGUGAUCCAUGGACAGUCCCUCAUGACAGUCCUCAUACUGGACACCCUGGAGAGAGAGAGGGUGGG
rnacentral:lncRNA from 1 species